UUUCUUUGCUGGCGACCGGCGCACGGGUGAGUAACACGUAUCCAACCUGCCCUUUACUCGGGGAUAGCCUUUCGAAAGAAAGAUUAAUACCCGAUAGCAUAAUGAUUCCGCAUGGUUUCAUUAUUAAAGGAUUCCGGUAAAGGAUGGGGAUGCGUUCCAUUAGGUUGUUGGUGAGGUAACGGUCCACCUAGUCUUCGAUGGAUAGGGGUUCUGAGAGGAAGGUCCCCCACAUUGGAACUGAGACACGGUCCAA
rnacentral:rRNA from 1 species